UACGAGGGGGGCGAGCGUUGUUCGGAAUUAUUGGGCGUAAAGGGUGCGUAGGCGGUUUGGUAAGUCUUGUGUGAAAUCUACAGGCUCAACUUGUAGUCUGCACGAGAAACUGCCGGGCUUGAGUGUGGGAGAGGUGAGUGGAAUUCCUGGUGUAGCGGUGAAAUGCGUAGAUAUCAGGAGGAACACCGGUGGUGUAGACGGCUCUCUGGACCGUAACUGACGCUGAGACACGAAAGCGUGGGUAGCAAACAGG
rnacentral:rRNA from 1 species